rnacentral:rRNA from 3 species
UCUGGCGGCAGUAGCGCGGUGGUCCCACCUGACCCCAUGCCGAACUCAGAAGUGAAACGCCGUAGCGCCGAUGGUAGUAUGGGGUCUCCCCAUGCGAGAGUAGGGAACUGCCAGAC